GGGUAGUUAGCUCAAGUAUGGUAGAGUACUCGUAUCACAUAUGAGUGGUUACAGGUUCGAGUCCUGUACUACCCA
rnacentral:tRNA from 1 species